CUGUGUUAUGCUGUAUUAAUAAUAAUUGCUUAUUGUUUCACCAAUCAGAAUAUUGCUACUACAAGGUUAUCUGACUAUACAUAAUCUUGAAUUUAGGCUUCAUAGAUGCACUGUUUUAAUAGUCUAAAGGCUUUAGUUGAACUAUGUAUUAACCCUUUACCUACUUAAUUGUAAUAAACUGCUUACAAUUUGUUUUAUUCUUAGAUGGGUCUCAAAGUAGUUGAAUAAAGCUGUUAAAUGAAGCAUUUAACCCGAGUUUAGUCACAUGCUAUCUCAAUUUCAUCACUUCUCAAGGUGCAGCAAGACUCAGUUGUUCCUAAUCCGUCACAUACCUGAGGUCCUUGGGAAGGCAGCCUUCACAACAGUGGCAUACCAGAUCUUCUAUGAGUAUGUGAAAAAUGGAGUUAAAGGAAUUUAGAGAUUGGUGCUUUCAUCAGUUUUAACUAUUCCUAUCUAUGGGAAAAAUACUUUUAUGACACAAAAAUGUUAGUUUUUGAAGAAUUAAAGAUAUUAAUAGUAGCUUUUCAUGAAGUAGUGAAAACAGAAGAUAUUAAACGUACUUAAAAUUGAACUAAAUAUGGCAUAACUUGUGAAGUUUCAUAGAGGACAGUAAAACGAUUAAAAAUAUAAUUCCAUUCAAACUCCCUGUAUACUGGCAUAAUCACAGUAAGAAAUCCUGUGAGAGCAUUGGUAUUAUUAUUCUGAAGCAAAGAAG
rnacentral:lncRNA from 1 species